AAAAGGUCCGCACUUUUGGGCUUCCAUAUCUUUCCCAGCUCCUCUCAUUUACUAUGGAUGCUGGCAAGAAAUGGCAGUCUAGAUGUGCAAAAUCCUGC
rnacentral:pre_miRNA from 18 species